rnacentral:tRNA from 1 species
GCGACCGUGGUGGAAUCGGCAGACACGCUGUCUUGAGGGGGCAGUGAGGCAACUCGUAUGGGUUCAAAUCCCAUCGGUCGCA